AGCAAUAUGAUGAGGAUUUCGUAUCCGAAUUCCAAUGUGGAAUGUUGUUAUAUAUCAUGGUCUUCAAAGUUCUCUGAUUGCU